rnacentral:rRNA from 1 species
UACUCCUACGGGAGGCAGCAGUGGGGAAUAUUGCACAAUGGAGGAAACUCUGAUGCAGCGACGCCGCGUGAAUGAUGAAGGCCUUCGGGUCGUAAAAUUCUGUCCUUGGGGAAGAUAAUGACGGUACCCAAGGAGGAAGCCCCGGCUAACUACGUGCCAGCAGCCGCGGUA